GCAGUCGAACGAACUCUGGUAUUGAUUGGUGCUUGCAUCAUGAUUUACAUUUGAGUGAGUGGCGAACUGGUGAGUAACACGUGGGAAACCUGCCCAGAAGCGGGGGAUAACACCUGGAAACAGAUGCUAAUACCGCAUAACAACUUGGACCGCAUGGUCCGAGUUUGAAAGAUGGCUUCGGCUAUCACUUUUGGAUGGUCCCGCGGCGUAUUAGCUAGAUGGUGGGGUAACGGCUCACCAUGGCAAUGAUACGUAGCCGACCUGAGAGGGUAAUCGGCCACAUUGGGACUGAGACACGGCCCAAACUCCUACGGGAGGCAGCAGUAGGGAAUCUUCCACAAUGGACGAAAGUCUGAUGGAGCAACGCCGCGUGAGUGAAGAAGGGUUUCGGCUCGUAAAACUCUGUUGUUAAAGAAGAACAUAUCUGAGAGUAACUGUUCAGGUAUUGACGGUAUUUAACCAGAAAGCCACGGCUAACUACGUGCCAGCAGCCGCGGUAAUACGUAGGUGGCAAGCGUUGUCCGGAUUUAUUGGGCGUAAAGCGAGCGCAGGCGGUUUUUUAAGUCUGAUGUGAAAGCCUUCGGCUCAACCGAAGAAGUGCAUCGGAAACUGGGAAACU
rnacentral:rRNA from 2 species